AGUGAACGCUGGCGGCGUGCCUAAUACAUGCAAGUCGAACGGAGUGGCGCACGGGUGAGUAAUGUAUAGCUAAUCUGCCCUACACUAGAGGACAACAGUUGGAAACGGCUGCUAAUACUCUAUAGUGUAGGAUGAGGCUAUAUUGUAUCAGCUAGUUGGUGAGGUAAUGGCUCACCAAGGCUAUGACCAAUAACUGGUCUGAGAGGAUGAGGAGUCACACGGGAACUGAGACACGAGCCAGACUCCUACGGGAGGCAGCAGUAGGGAGUAGUACUCAAUGGGCGAAGCCCUGAAGCAGCAACGCCGCGUGGAGUAUGGCACUUGUCGGAGCAUAAACUCAUUUUGUUAGGCAAGCGGUACCUAACGAAUAAGCACCGGCUAACUCCGUGCCAGCAGCCGCGGUAAUAC
rnacentral:rRNA from 1 species